rnacentral:rRNA from 1 species
GAUGAACGCUGGCGGCGUGCCUAACACAUGCAAGUCGAGCGAUCUUCUUCGGAAGAGAGCGGCGGACGGGUGAGUAACGCGUGGGUAACCUGCCCUGUACACACGGAUAACAUACCGAAAGGUAUGCUAAUACGGGAUGACAUAUGAAAGUCGCAUGGCUUUUAUAUCAAAGCUCCGGCGGUACAGGAUGGACCCGCGUCUGAUUAGCUAGUUGGUAAGGUAACGGCUUACCAAGGCGACGAUCAGUAGCCGACCUGAGAGGGUGAUCGGCCACACUGGAACUGAGACACGGUCCAGACUCCUACGGGAGGCAGCAGUGGGGAAUAUUGCACAAUGGGCGAAAGCCUGAUGCAGCAACGCCGCGUGAGCGAUGAAGGCCUUCGGGUCGUAAAGCUCUGUCCUCAAGGAAGAUAAUGACGGUACUUGAGGAGGAAGCCCCGGCUAACUACGUGCCAGCAGCCGCGGUAAUACGUAGGGGGCUAGCGUUAUCCGGAAUUACUGGGCGUAAAGGGUGCGUAGGCGGUCUUUCAAGCCAGAAGUGAAAGGCUACGGCUCAACCGUAGUAAGCUUUUGGAACUGUAGGACUUGAGUGCAGGAGAGGAGAGUAGAAUUCCUAGUGUAGCGGUGAAAUGCGUAGAUAUUAGGAGGAAUACCAGUAGCGAAGGCGGCUCUCUGGACUGUAACUGACGCUGGGGCACGAAAGCGUGGGGAGCAAACAGG